UGGUUUGAAAUUGGGGAACUCAACGGUGAAAACAUUUGUAGUUGCCGCCUAAAAGCUUUUGCCCUGCUAGACUUGAGAGCUAAUGCUCCUGGAUGUCUGAGCCA
rnacentral:snoRNA from 9 species